GUUUCCCUGAAUUUAACGAGGACACCAUUCACAGAAGGCAAGAGAGCCCUGCUUUUUUAAUCAGGUUACAGACAAGGGCAGAUUCAGAAAAUCACACUUAAAUGAAGCAAUGGAAUACUAUUCUCCACAUAUUAUGGAGAACGGAAUAUAUAUUACUAAUAAAAAGUUACUCCAAAAAAAAAAAUUAAUCACACUGACCAUGAUGAAAGCACAUAAGCAAUAGCAGACUCUCUAAGGACCAUCAAUCUUUCUUUAUAUGAACUUACUGACCACGAUGAAAGCACAUAAGCAAUAGCAGACUCUCUAAGGACCAUCAAUCUUUCUUUAUAUGAACUUACUGACCAUGAUGAAAGCACAUAAGCAAUAGCAGACUCUCUAAGGACCAUCAAUCUUUCUUUAUAUGAACUUACUGAUAGUAUAUGAAAAAUACUACAGACUAUGUAGCAUCAUUUACUGAACCUUCAGCAAAUAGUUCUACAGAGGUUCACCCAAUAACAAUACAAUCAGUUUCCCUGACGUUUACGAGAGUACUAUUCACAAAAUAACCAACAGAACCCUGCUUUUUACAUCAGGUUGGUAACAAGAAAUCUCAUAUAAUCACCACAUUCACACCAUCCAAGUUACAUUACUGUAAAUUAUCUAUCUUGCACGUCCAAUCCAAAAAUAACCAAUCAGAUAUAUAUUAUCACAGAAAACUACAAAUUAUGUGGCAUCAUUUACUGAACCAUCAGCAAUUAUCUAUACAUAGGUUCACCCAAUAAUGAUACAUUCGAUAUUCCUGAAGUUUACAAGGGCACUAUUCACUAUAUAGGCAACAGAACCCUGCUUUUUUCAUCAGGUUCGUAACAAGAAAUCUCAUAUAAUCACUACACUCACGAUGUCAAUUUAUAUUACUGUAAAUUAUCUAUCUUGCAUGCACAAUCCAAAAAUAAACAAUCAAAUAUAUAUUAACAUAGGAACUACAAAGAUUAUGUAGCAUCAUUUACUGAACCAUCAGCAAUUAUCUAUACAUAGGUUCACCCAAUAAUGAUACAUUCGAUAUUCCUGAAAUUUACAAGGGCAAUAUUCACGAUAUAGGCAACAAAACCCUGCUUUUUUCAUCAGGUUCGGAACAAUAAAUCUCAUAUAAUCACAACACUCAUUACGUCAAGUUAUAUAUUACUGUAAAUUAUCUAUCUUGCAUGCGCAAUCCAAAAAUAAACAAUCAAAUAUAUAUUAACACAGGAACUACAAAGAUUAUAUAGCAUCAUUUACUGAACCAUCAGCAAUUAUCUGUACAUAGGUUCACCCAAUAAUGAUUCAUUCGAUUUUCCUGAAGUUUACGAGAGCACUGUUCAUAAAAUAGGCAACAGAGCCCUGCUUUUUUCAUCAGGUUGUUCACAGGCAGUCUUGUAUGAUCAGCACAACUAGUUACUUAAGUACACAAUUAAGUAGUGUGUACGGCAUUACUCACAAU